UACAGAGACUGCAAGCGUUAUUCGGAUUCACUGGGCGUAAAGGGUGCGCAGGCGGUCGGGUGUGUCAGAUGUGAAAUCCCGAGGCUCAACCUCGGAACUGCGUCUGAAACUACUCGACUAGAGUACUGGAGAGGGUAACGGAAUUCACGGUGUAGCAGUGAAAUGCGUAGAUAUCGCGAGGAACACCAGAGGCGAAGGCGGUUACCUGGACAGUUACUGACGCUCAGGCACGAAAGCAUGGGGAGCAAAAGGG
rnacentral:rRNA from 1 species